rnacentral:rRNA from 1 species
UCCUACGGGACGCAGCAGUAGGGAAUAUUGCUCAAUGGGGGAAACCCUGAAGCAGCAACGCCGCGUGGAGGAGGAAGGUUUUGGGAUUGUAAACUCCUUUUGUUAGAGAAGAUAAUGACGGUAUCUAACGAAUAAGCAACGGCUAACUCCGUGCCAGCAGCCACGGUAAUACGGAGGGUGCAAGCGUUACUCGGAAUCACUGGGCGAAAAGAGCGCGUAGGCGGGAUAGCAAGUCAGAUGUGAAAUCCU